GAUGAACGCUGGCGGCGUGCCUAGUACAUGCAAGUCGAGCGAACAGACGAGGAGCUUGCUCCUCUGACGUUAGCGGCGGACGGGUGAGUAACACGUGGAUAACCUACCUAUAAGACUGGGAUAACUUCGGGAAACCGGAGCUAAUACCGGAUAAUAUAUUGAACCGCAUGGUUCAAUAGUGAAAGACGGUUUUGCUGUCACUUAUAGAUGGAUCCGCGCCGCAUUAGCUAGUUGGUAAGGUAACGGCUUACCAAGGCAACGAUGCGUAGCCGACCUGAUAGGGUGAUCGGCCACACUGGAACUGAGACACGGUCCAGACUCCUACGGGAGGCAGCAGUAGGGAAUCCUCCGCAAUGGGCGAAAGCCUGACGGAGCAACGCCGCGUGAGUGAUGAAGGUCUUCGGAUCGUAAAACUCUGUUAUUAGGGAAGAACAAAUGUGUAAGUAACUAUGCACGUCUUGACGGUACCUAAUCAGAAAGCCACGGCUAACUACGUG
rnacentral:rRNA from 1 species